GGCAAAAGUCUUUAAUAGUUAGUUAAUAGUGAGAAUUGAACCAUAAACAUGUAUUUUUAAAAACAUUUUAGAAACACUCACAAUUAAUGCAAUCGAUGUCUAAUAGUUCAAAGCACUUAAUUAGCAGCAGUUUAGUAUUUUCCGUGACCUAAUCUAGGAACUAGAUCUGAGAACCAUUUACUCCUGAUAACCAUGAACAACUCUGAUACUACUGGUUUAAAAAUAUCAACAUCAGUUAGGUACGUUUAACAAGCUGUAAACAACGGAUAAAGAUAACUCUUUACAUAUUAAACAAUAAUAAUUUGUAAAUUACAGUGGAAAUGGAUGAAGAACUCACUGUUUGUAUAUAGCCGAUUAAUGAAUAAACAAUUUAGAGAUUAUAAACAAUGGAUUCCUAUAAAUUAAUAGUUUGAUUGAUGAGUUGAAUGAUUUAUAAGUGCUUUGUUACUGUAUACAUAAUUAUCAUAAAGUGUUACCCUGUUCUUUAUCACACCCACAUCUGUGUUCUAACAUAAUCUUCUUGCCAAUUUUGGAACUUUGUGCUGCAGUAUUGUCACUUUAGCAUGAAUUGCUGUGUUGUAGCAUUCCUCAUUUGCAGCUUGCUAAAUAAGCAUAAAUGCAAAUAUGUUUGACUUGACUGUCCUGGACUGAAUGCAUCAAAAACAAGCUUGCAGAGUCUUCUGUGGAUAAAUUAAAAGCUCAGUAACAGCAUACAGUGCAUGCAUUAUUAUUUCCUGAGUUGCUUUUAGCUAGAAUGAAAUGGCAUUUAAGAAAUAUUUUGGGACAUUUCAGUGGGUGAACCAUUGUGACACAAUUUGUGCAGUCUACAGAGCUCUGUAAGUGCUGUGGCAGCUGAAAAAGGCUGUUGCUUCAGUCAGCAUCCUGGUAAGGGCUUUUUAUAAGGGCUGUCUGUUCUUGUUCUCUAUAGUAUUUCCUCAUUUCUCAUUGGUUAUCACUGGCCAGAUAGUGUCUGGUGACCUUGAUGGUCAUUUGAAGAUGGACGGGCAACAAUCUCAGUAUCAAUCAUUUAAGAAGCUGUCAGUUCUGACAUACUAUCUCCAUGGAAAAUCGCCAGAUGUCUUUUCUAGACCGAGAAUGGACAAGUGCAGUUGCACUGAUGUGUCCAAACUCUCAUCCCUAUAUCCUUAUCUUCUGUAA
ensembl:lncRNA